GUCCAGAGCCCCCUGGUGGCUGGCUGCAGUACAAUUCGUAGCUCCGCCCAUCCCCAUGUAUUUCAAUGGCCAAGUAGACAACUUUCCGUGUCACUUUUCUCACCUAAAACUAAUGUUAUAUUUACAACAUGUUAUUCGAAAAAAUAGUUUUCAAUGUGCUUCAAUACACACAAUUUUUCUUUUCUCUGUGAAAUUAUUUUUUUUAAAGUUAUUUUAACAAAUCUAAAACGGGCGUUGAUUGACAGUGCGUGACCGCAGCGUCAGCCGCUUGCAGCCGUUCAGUCCGUGGAGUAGCUGUAGGCUCGGCUGUGGUGGUGUUCGUUCGUCAGGCAACUUAUCAUAUUUGUUUUAUUUGCUGUUAUUACACUUUAUACAUUGACAGUCAUGUCGUGCUGUGCUGUUGGUUGUACUAACGGGCCAUCCCAGAGAAGCUCUGUGCAGUUUUUUUUCGUUUUCCUUUAGGUGUGCAGCAUGCAGACAGACUGAGACGAUGGCUGGUGAACAUAAGACGACAAGACUGGGAGCCCAGCAAGUCAUCUCAUCUCUGUAGUCUUCAUUUUGAAGACCAUGAAUUCACCAUUUAUACCUAUGGGAAUCGUCUGACUUGCACUGCAGUACCAACUGUGUUCUCCCUUCCUGACCACCUGGUGAAGAGACCUGCUAGUAGAAAGGCAAGUGGUUAUUUUCUUAUCCUUUCUUUGUCAAGUGCUGCAAAUGAGAAGGAAUGUGAAAUGGUGGCUGCUAAUACAUCAGAUCAAAAUGUGGCUUGUCAGUAGUGAGCAGUUACAUUUUUGUGUCACCCAAGACAUUAAAACGAAAGAAUGAUGUCAUGGUUGAGAUUGUGGAGAAAUAUUAAAAGAGGAUGAGAAAGUAAGACGUGUAAAGUAAGUUUCAUGGCAUAACACAAACUUAGAACUUUUUUUAUAUGUUGUCUGUAAUGCUAUACAACUGUAAUACCUCCUGGAAGUUUUGAUUUUAUUUAUGUUUUUUCACAUGGCGG